UUUUUAUGGAGAGUUUGAUCCUGGCUCAGGAUGAACGCUGGCGGCGUGCCUAAUACAUGCAAGUCGAGCGAACAGAUAAGGAGCUUGCUCCUUUGACGUUAGCGGCGGACGGGUGAGUAACACGUGGAUAACCUACCUAUAAGACUGGGAUAACUUCGGGAAACCGGAGCUAAUACCGGAUAAGAUUUUGAACCGCAUGGUUCAAUA
rnacentral:rRNA from 1 species